AGUGAACGCUGGCGGUAGGCCUAACACAUGCAAGUCGAACGGCAGCACAGUAAGAGCUUGCUCUUACGGGUGGCGAGUGGCGGACGGGUGAGGAAUACAUCGGAAUCUACUUUUUCGUGGGGGAUAACGUAGGGAAACUUACGCUAAUACCGCAUACGACCUACGGGGGAAAGCAGGGGAUCUUCGGACCUUGCGCGAUUGAAUGAGCCGAUGUCGGAUUAGCUAGUUGGCGGGGUAAAGGCCCACCAAGGCGACGAUCCGUAGCUGGUCUGAGAGGAUGAUCACCCACACUGGAACUGAGACACGGUCCAGACUCCUACGGGAGGCAGCAGUGGGGAAUAUUGGACAAAGGGCGCAAGCCUGAUCCAGCCAUACCGCGUGGGUGAAGAAGGCCUUCGGGUUGUAAAGCCCUUUUGUUGGGAAAGAAAAGCAGCAGGUUAAUACCCCGCUGUUCUGACGGUACCCAAAGAAUAAGCACCGGCUAACUUCGUG
rnacentral:rRNA from 1 species